GCCAAAGACGGUAACAGCCCGGUAGUUGAAAUGGCUUUCCCUCCAGAGUGGAUCCUGAGUACGGCGGAACACGUGAAAUUCCGUCGGAAUCCGGGAGGACCAUCUCCCAAGGCUAAAUACUCCCUAGUGACCGAUAGUGAACCAGUACCGUGAGGGAAAGGUGAAAAGCACCCCGGAAGGGGAGUGAAACAGUUCCUGAAACCGUGUGCCUACAAGUAGUUAGAGCCCGUUAAUGGGUGAUAGCGUGCCUUUUGUAGAAUGAACCGGCGAGUUACGAUUUGUUGCAAGGUUAAGCGGAAAAAGCGGAGCCGUAGCGAAAGCGAGUCUGAAUAGGGCGCAUAAGUAACAGGUCGUAGACCCGAAACCAGGUGAUCUACCCAUGUCCAGGAUGAAGGUAAGGUAAUACUUACUGGAGGUCCGAACCCACGCACGUUGAAAAGUGCGGGGAUGAGGUGUGGGUAGCGGAGAAAUUCCAAUCGAACUUGGAGAUAGCUGGUUCUCUCCGAAAUAGCUUUAGGGCUAGCCUCGAGGUAAAGAGUCAUGGAGGUAGAGCACUGUUUGGACUAGGGGCCCUUCUCGGGUUACCGAAUUCAGAUAAACUCCGAAUGCCAUGUACUUAUACUCGGGAGUCAGACUGCGAGUGAUAAGAUCCGUAGUCGAAAGGGAAACAGCCCAGACCACCAGUUAAGGUCCCCAAAUAUAUGUUAAGUGGAAAAGGAUGUGGGGUUGCUUAGACAACCAGGAUGUUGGCUUAGAAGCAGCCACCAUUGAAAGAGUGCGUAAUAGCUCACUGGUCGAGUGACCCCGCGCCGAAAAUGUACCGGGGCUAAACAUAUUACCGAAACUGUGGAUGAACCUCUUUAGAGGUUCGUGGUAGGAGAGCGUUCUAAGGGCGGUGAAGUCAGACCGGAAGGACUGGUGGAGCGCUUAGAAGUGAGAAUGCCGGUAUGAGUAGCGAAAGAAGGGUGAGAAUCCCUUCCACCGAAUAUCUAAGGUUUCCUGAGGAAGGCUCGUCCGCUCAGGGUUAGUCGGGACCUAAGCCGAGGCCGAUAGGCGUAGGCGAUGGACAACAGGUAGAGAUUCCUGUACCAGUGCUAAUUGUUUAACCGAUGGGGUGACACAGAAGGAUAGGGAAUCGCACGAAUGGAAAUGUGCGUCCAAGCAGUGAGUGUGAGAAGUAGGCAAAUCCGCUUCUCGCGAAGCAUGAGCUGUGAUGGGGAAGGAAAUUAAGUACGGAAGUUCCUGAUUUCACGCUGUCAAGAAAAGCCUCUAGGAAGAGUAGUACUGCCCGUACCGCAAACCGACACAGGUAGAUGAGGAGAGAAUCCUAAGGUGAGCGAGAGAACUCUCGUUAAGGAACUCGGCAAAAUGACCCCGUAACUUCGGGAGAAGGGGUGCUCUAUUAGGGUGCAAGCCCGAGAGAGCCGCAGUGAAUAGGCCCAGGCGACUGUUUAGCAAAAACACAGGUCUCUGCAAAACCGUAAGGUGACGUAUAGGGGCUGACGCCUGCCCGGUGCUGGAAGGUUAAGAGGAGUGCUUAGCUUCGGCGAAGGUACGAAUUGAAGCCCCAGUAAACGGCGGCCGUAACUAUAACGGUCCUAAGGUAGCGAAAUUCCUUGUCGGGUAAGUUCCGACCCGCACGAAAGGCGCAACGAUCUGGGCACUGUCUCAACGAGAGACUCGGUGAAAUUAUAGUACCUGUGAAGAUGCAGGUUACCCGCGACAGGACGGAAAGACCCCGUGGAGCUUUACUGCAACCUGAUAUGGAAUGUUUGUACCGCUUGUACAGGAUAGGUAGGAGCCGAAGAGACGUGUGCGCUAGCAUACGAGGAGGCAAUGGUGGGAUACUACCCUGGCUGUAUGACCAUUCUAACCCGCCACGCUUAGCGCGUGGGGAGACAGUGUCAGGUGGGCAGUUUGACUGGGGCGGUCGCCUCCUAAAGAGUAACGGAGGCGCCCAAAGGUUCCCUC
rnacentral:rRNA from 1 species